UCCUGGAAGGAGACAACUUAUUAAAUACUCCUUAUCAUUGAUCAGGUCCUGGAAGGAGACAUUAAAUACUCCUUAUCAUUGAUCAGGUCCUGGAAGGAGACAACUUAUUAAAUACUCCUUAUCAUUGAUCAGGUCCUGAAAGGAGACAACUUAUUAAAUACUCCUUAUCAUUGAUCAGGUCCUGGAAGGAGACAACUUAUUAAAUACUCCUUAUCAUUGAUCAGGUCCUGGAGGGAGACAUUAAAUACUCCUUAUCAUUGAUCAGGUCCUGGAAGGAGACAACUUAUUAAAUACUCCUUAUCAUUGAUCAGGUCCUGGAAGGAGACAACUUAUUAAAUACUCCUUAUCAUUGAUCAGGUCCUGGAGGGAGACAUUAAAUACUCCUUAUCAUUGAUCAGGUCCUGAAAGGAGACAACUUAUUAAAUACUCCUUAUCAUUGAUCAGGUCCUGGAAGGAGACAACUUAUUAAAUACUCCUUAUCAUUGAUCAGGUCCUGGAAGGAGACAACUUAUUAAAUACUCCUUAUCAUUGAUCAGGUCCUGGAAGGAGACAACUUAUUAAAUACUCCUUAUCAUUGAUCAGGUCCUGGAAGGAGACAACUUAUUAAAUACUCCUUAUCAUUGAUCAGGUCCUGGAGGGAGACAUUAAAUACUCCUUAUCAUUGAUCAGGUCCUGGAGGGAGACAUUAAAUACUCCUUAUCAUUGAUCAGGUCCUGGAAGGAGACAACUUAUUAAAUACUCCUUAUCAUUGAUCAGGUCCUGGAAGGAGACAACUUAUUAAAUACUCCUUAUCAUUGAUCAGGUCCUGAAAGGAGACAACUUAUUAAAUACUCCUUAUCAUUGAUCAGGUCUUGGAAGGAGACAACUUAUUAAAUACUCCUUAUCAUUGAUCAGGUCCUGGAGGGAGACAUUAAAUACUCCUUAUCAUUGAUCAGGUCCUGGAGGGAGACAUUAAAUACUCCUUAUCAUUGAUCAGGUCCUGAAAGGAGACAACUUAUUAAAUACUCCUUAUCAUUGAUCAGGUCCUGGAAGGAGACAACUUAUUAAAUACACCUUAUCAUUGAUCAGGUCCUGGAAGGGAGACAACUUAUUAAAUACUCCUUAUCAUUGAUCAGGUCCUGGAAGGGAGACAACUUAUUAAAUACUCCUUAUGUGAUGUGUGUGUGGUGUGUGUGUAUGGUGUGUGUGUGUGGUGUGUGUGUGUGUGUGUGUGUGUGUAUGGUGUGUGUGUGUGUGGUG